CAUAAACAUUGUACUAUGCUGUACAAAUAUUACAUAGUUCAUGUGCUUAGAGAUUGCACAAUUUUUGUUUGGUUGACAAUAGCUAAUGUUUUCUUCUUCAUUUUCUAUUUCCUGAUUUUUCUUUAUUUAGUAUAUGCUACAUUAUCAUAAACAUAAGAACGUUUUACAAACUAAAGCAAAAGAAACCCUAGGAAAAAAAUGCACAAAUAAAAUAUAUAAACAUACAAUUAGAUGUACCAUGUACCCUUCUAAUUUAUUUAGACAUUUAAUUGUAGUACAAUUUUAAUUAAAGUCUGUGUAUUAUCUGCCAUCGUCUUAGUAUUUUUUAUAUAACAAAUUGUGUAAAUCAAAAAGCCUCAAUGUCAUUAUAAACUAUCUUGGCAGAGGUUGAUGUCCAAGGAAUAAUUUCUCUCCCAAAUUAUGUCAAUCAGAAUUUCACUCUACCAUAAUUCUUUUAAUCAGUUUCAGAGGAAUCAUAAAUUUCAAAAUUGUUCAAGGUUGUUGUUGUAGUUCAAGUACAUUUUGACAGGUGUAAAACUGUAGACAGACUGAUACAAACAUAUUCUAUUUGACACAAAAGUAUAUGGGUCCUUUUUUAAAUUCUAGACUUUAAAAUGUCUUGUCAACGUACACAUGUUCUCCUUGUGAAAUAAUUGCUUUUUAUUCUCUGGAUAGAAUAAUUUAAUCUUUAAACCUUCAAUUCACUGUUAAAAACAAAAUAUUACCUAAGGAUAUGCUUAUAAAAAUAAUUCACAGCUAGCUUUUCAAUUCAGAAAUAUAUGUGAAAAAUCAUCAAGCAUCUAAUGGAUUUCAAGGAGAAAUGGGUUAGUAAUUUAUUCCAUAUGUCUCAAUUUUUCCUAGAUUCAAGGCUUCCUUUAAAAUAAUUGUAGGCGUUUAAGAAACCAUGUAAACUAAAAAGAAGAAAUUGUGACACUGCCGCUUAGGUUUUUUAAAUCUUUUGACAUGAAUCAAUAUACUUUUUAAUUUUAUCUUAAUUAGACAUUGUGAGUUCACCAUCUUCCUGUCAGUACAGCAUCCAAGCUGAUUAUCAUAGAUUACAAGUUACACUAUCAACUGUAUUCUGAGACUCUUAAAAAAAAAUGAGUGUUUUUGUUUGGGUAUUCUUAAAGCAGGAGUGAGGACACAGCGAAAGUGAGACAAGGAAGAGAGAACAAAAUAAAACAGGAAAGAUAGAAAAGCCAGUACCACACGUGUUAAGAGGCAAGUUCCUGUGUUAGAUAUCUGGGCUUAAUUCUAUGGGAAGCUAUGUGGAACAUGCCUCAGAAUUACAUCACUGAAUCCAGGGAGAUUCUUCUUAG
rnacentral:lncRNA from 1 species